ACGCUGGCGGCGUGCCUAAUACAUGCAAGUAGAACGCUGAAGGAGGGGCUUGCUUCUCUGGAUGAGUUGCGAACGGGUGAGUAACGCGUAGGUAACCUGCCUGGUAGCGGGGGAUAACUAUUGGAAACGAUAGCUAAUACCGCAUAAUAGUAGAUGUUGCAUGACAUUUGCUUAAAAGGUGCAAUUGCAUCACUACCAGAUGGACCUGCGUUGUAUUAGCUAGUUGGUGGGGUAACGGCUCACCAAGGCGACGAUACAUAGCCGACCUGAGAGGGUGAUCGGCCACACUGGGACUGAGACACGGCCCAGACUCCUACGGGAGGCAGCAGUAGGGAAUCUUCGGCAAUGGACGGAAGUCUGACCGAGCAACGCCGCGUGAGUGAAGAAGGUUUUCGGAUCGUAAAGCUCUGUUGUAAGAGAAGAACGAGUGUGAGAGUGGAAAGUUCACACUGUGACGGUAUCUUACCAGAAAGGGACGGCUAACUACGUGCCAGCAGCCGCGGUAAUACGUAGGUCCCGAGCGUUGUCCGGAUUUAUUGGGCGUAAAGCGAGCGCAGGCGGUUAGAUAAGUCUGAAGUUAAAGGCUGUGGCUUAACCAUAGUACGCUUUGGAAACUGUUUAACUUGAGUGCAAGAGGGGAGAGUGGAAUUCCAUGUGUAGCGGUGAAAUGCGUAGAUAUAUGGAGGAACACCGGUGGCGAAAGCGGCUCUCUGGCUUGUAACUGACGCUGAGGCUCGAAAGCGUGGGGAGCAAACAGGAUUAGAUACCCUGGUAGUCCACGCCGUAAACGAUGAGUGCUAGGUGUUAGACCCUUUCCGGGGUUUAGUGCCGCAGCUAACGCAUUAAGCACUCCGCCUGGGGAGUACGACCGCAAGGUUGAAACUCAAAGGAAUUGACGGGGGCCCGCACAAGCGGU
rnacentral:rRNA from 1 species